rnacentral:rRNA from 1 species
ACGCACGCAAGUGUGAAACUCAAAGGAAUUGACGGGGGCCCGCACAAGCGGUGGAGUAUGUGGUUUAAUUCGAUGCAACGCGAAGAACCUUACCAGGGUUUGACAUCCUGCGAAUCCCUUGGAAACGAGGGAGUGCCUUCGGGAGCGCAGUGACAGGUGGUGCAUGGCUGUCGUCAGCUCGUGUCGUGAGAUGUUGGGUUAAGUCCCGCAACGAGCGCAACCCACGUCGUUAGUUGCCAGCAUUUAGUUGGGCACUCUAGCGAGACCGCCGGUGAUAAACCGGAGGAAGGUGUGGAUGACGUCAAGUCAUCAUGCCCCUUACAUCCUGGGCUACACACGUACUACAAUGCUACGGACAAAGGGCAGCAAACUCGCGAGAGCUAGCAAAUCCCAUAAACCGUGGCUCAGUUCAGAUCGUAGGCUGCAACUCGCCUACGUGAAGGAGGAAUCGCUAGUAAUCGCAGGUCAGCAUACUGCGGUGAAUACGUUCCCGGGCCUUGUACACACCGCCCGUCACACCAUGGAAGUUGGCCACGCCCGAAGCCGUUACUCCAACCCUUGUGGAGGAGGACGUCGAAGGUGGGGCUGAUGACUGGGGUG